UUGGUUGUGUGACGCUGCCGGGAUUGACUGUUAAUCAAUUGGUCGUAGGUUCGAUCCCUACCGCCGGAGCCA
rnacentral:tRNA from 2 species